rnacentral:rRNA from 1 species
GCUUAAGUGCCAUAACGAGCGCAACCCUCGUGGUCAGUUACUAACAGGUUAAGCUGAGGACUCUGGCCAGACUGCCAUCGUAAGAUGUGAGGAAGGUGGGGAUGACGUCAAAUCAGCACGGCCCUUACGUCCGGGGCUACACACGUGUUACAAUGGGAGGUACAGAAGGCAGCUACCCGGCGACGGGAUGCCAAUCCCCAAAACCUCUCUCAGUUCGGACUGGAGUCUGCAACCCGACUCCACGAAGCUGGAUUCGCUAGUAAUCGCGCAUCAGCCACGGCGCGGUGAAUACGUUCCCGGGCCUUGUACACACCGCCCGUCAAGCCAUGAAAGCCGGGGGUACCUGAAGUGCGUAACCGCAAGGAGCGUCCUAGGGUAAAACCGGUAAUUGGGGCUAAGUCGUAACAAGGUAGCCGUACUGGAAGGUGCGGCUGGAACACCUCGUCGACGCGGC